AACUUCCUUCAUAAAUAAAAUAAUUUUUUAAUAAAAUUAAUUUUCCUAAAAUUCAUCUGAAAAGUAUCAUUCUUAUUAAAUAGCAGUAAUAAACGUACCUUUUGCAUCAUGGUUUAACUAGUUUAUAAUUAUAAAUUAUACCCGAAACACUACAGAGCUGGAAACAUGCUGAUUAGAUACCCAUACUACAAUGUUGCAUUAUUGUGAUAAGACAUGUUUUCAGAGGCUACAUACCCCCGCGGAGUGUAAUAGCUGGUUACAUUUAAAAUUGAUGUUAGUCAAAAAAGCCUCAGGCUAUAUAAUUAUUAAAGGCAAAGCUUUAAUAAUAAACCUAUAAUUUUAUAUGAGAGAUUAAAAUAGGCUUAACAACAGCUAUUAUAUCGUUACUGUACAAAUCAUUCGAUUCUUCAAUUAUAUUAAAUUGAGUUUAUAAAUGUAAUUCUCUUUUCUAAAGACUAACUUAUACUGUUAUAACUAAUACUCUCAAUCUAUUUUACGUAUUUAACCGUAUAUUUAAAAUAAUUAAAAUUCAUAUUUUGAUAAGGAACUCGGCAAAAUAUAUUCAGCCUGUUUAACAAAAACACCGCCUAUUGAAUAUAUAAUAGGUCCAUCCUGCCCAGUGAUACAAAUUCAACGGCCGCGGUACCUUGACCGUGCAAAGGUAGCAUAAUCAUUUGCCUUUUAAUUGGAGGCUAGUAUGAAAGGACACACAAGAAUAUAGCUGUCUCAUCAAAAAUCAAAGAAAACUGAUAUUUAGGUGAAGAAGCCUAAAUUUUUAUAAAAGACAAGAAGACCCUAUAGAGCUUUAUUAAUACAUGUUAUAACACUUAAUUAUUAAUUUGGUUGGGACAACCAAAAGACAUUAAUACCUCUUUUUUACCUUAUUAGACUCACACCCAUCAAUGUUUUAGAAAUAGCUACCUUAGGGAUAACAGGCUAAUUUCACUAGAGAGUUCACAUUGACAGUGAAGUUUGGCACCUCGAUGUUGGCUUAGUGUAACUAUUAGGCGCAGCCGCUUAAUAAAGUUGGUUUGUUCAACCAUUAAAUCACUACAUGAGCUGAGUUCAGACCGGCGUAAGCCAGGUUAGAUUCUAUCUUUAUUAAUAUAAUAAAUUACAGUACGAAAGGACCUAAAUUUAUGAAUUUAAUUCUAUUUAUUAAACCACAUU
rnacentral:rRNA from 1 species